rnacentral:rRNA from 1 species
CCUACGGGGGGCAGCAGUAGGGAAUGUUGGUCAAUGGGCGCAAGCCUGAACGAGCGAUGCCGCGUGAGUGAAGAAGGCCUUCGGGUUGUAAAGCACUGUUGAGGGGGAAAAAAGGCAGCAUCAGGAAAUGGAUGCUGACUGAUGGUGCCCCGCCAGAAAGUCACGGCUAACUACGUGCCAGCAGCCGCGGUAAGACGUAGGUGGCGAGCGUUAGCCGGAAUGAUUGGGCGUAAAGGGUGCGCAGGCGGGCCUGCAAGUCCGAAGUGAAACGCAUGGGCUCAACUCAGGAAUGGCAUUGGAAACUGGAGGACUUGAGGGCAGGAGAGGGCGGCGGAACUCCAUGUGUAGCGGUGAAAUGCGUAGAUAUAUGGAAGAACACCAGUGGCGAAGGCGGCCGCCUGGACUGUUACUGACGCUGAGGCACGAAAGCGUGGGGAGCAAAUAGGAUUAGAUACCCGAGUAGUC